rnacentral:rRNA from 1 species
UGGGGAAUUUUGGACAAUGGGCGAAAGCCUGAUCCAGCAAUGCCGCGUGUGUGAAGAAUGCCUUCGGGUUGUAAAGCACUUUUGUCCGGAAAGAAAUCCUUGGCUCUAAUACAGUCGGGGGAUGACGGUACCGGAAGAAUAAGCACCGGCUAACUACGUGCCAGCAGCCGCGGUAAUACGUAGGGUGCAAGCGUUAAUCGGAAUUACUGGGCGUAAAGCGUGCGCAGGCGGUUUGCUAAGACCGAUGUGAAAUCCCCGGGCUCAACCUGGGAACUGCAUUGGUGACUGGCAGGCUAGAGUAUGGCAGAGGGGGGUAGAAUUCCACGUGUAGCAGUGAAAUGCGUAGAGAUGUGGAGGAAUACCGAUGGCGAAGGCAGCCCCCUGGGCCAAUACUGACGCUCAUGCACGAAAGCGUGGGGAGCAAACAGGAUUAGAUACCCUGGUAGUCCACGCCCUAAACGAUGUCAACUAGUUGUUGGGGAUUCAUUUCCUUAGUAACGUAGCUAACGCGUGAAGUUGACCGCCUGGGGAGUACGGUCGCAAGAUUAAAA